CCCUGGAUGCUAAGCCGCCCUUGAGAGGGUAAUCGGCCCCAUUUGGGAUUGAGACCCGGCCCAGAUUCUUACGGGAGGCAGCAGUAGGGAAUCUUCCCCAAUGGACGAAAGUCUGAUGGAGCAACGCCGCGUGAGUGAAGAAGGUUUUCGGAUCGUAAAAUUCUGUUGUUGGAGAAGAAUGUAUCUGAUAGUAACUGAUCAGGUAGUGACGGUAUCCAACCAGAAAGCCACGGCUAACUACGUGCCAGCAGCCGCGGUAAUACGUAGGUGGCAAGCGUUGUCCGGAUUUAUUGGGCGUAAAGCGAGCGCAGGCGGUUUCUUAAGUCUGAUGUGAAAGCCUUCGGCUCAACCGAAGAAGUGCAUCGGAAACUGGGAAACUUGAGUGCAGAAGAGGACAGUGGAACUCCAUGUGUAGCGGUGAAAUGCGUAGAUAUAUGGAAGAACACCAGUGGCGAAGGCGGCUGUCUGGUCUGUAACUGACGCUGAGGCUCGAAAGCAUGGGUAGCAAACAGGAUUAGAUACCCUGGUAGUCCAUGCCGUAAACGAUGAGUGCUAGGUGUUGGAGGGUUUCCGCCCUUCAGUGCCGCAGCUAACGCAUUAAGCACUCCGCCUGGGGAGUACGACCGCAAGGUUGAAACUCAAAGGAAUUGACGGGGGCCCGCACAAGCGGUGGAGCAUGUGGUUUAAUUCGAAGCAACGCGAAGAACCUUACCAGGUCUUGACAUCCUUUGACCACUCUAGAGAUAGAGCUUUCCCUUCGGGGACAAAGUGACAGGUGGUGCAUGGUUGUCGUCAGCUCGUGUCGUGAGAUGUUGGGUUAAGUCCCGCAACGAGCGCAACCCUUAUUACUAGUUGCCAGCAUUUAGUUGGGCACUCUAGUGAGACUGCCGGUGACAAACCGGAGGAAGGUGGGGACGACGUCAAAUCAUCAUGCCCCUUAUGACCUGGGCUACACACGUGCUACAAUGGAUGGUACAACGAGUUGCGAGACCGCGAGGUU
rnacentral:rRNA from 2 species